AGAGUUUGAUUUGGCUCAGGAUGAACGCUAGCGAUAGGCCUAACACAUGCAAGUCGAGGGGCAGCACAUGAAGUAGCAAUACGGAUGGUGGCGACCGGCGCACGGGUGAGUAACGCGUAUGCAACCUGCCUACAACAGGGGAAUAACCCGUUGAAAGACGGACUAAUACCCCAUAACACAGGGAUCCCGCAUGGGAAUAUUUGUUAAAGAUUUAUCGGUUGUAGAUGGGCAUGCGUUCCAUUAGCUUGUUGGUGAGGUAACGGCUCACCAAGGCAACGAUGGAUAGGGGAACUGAGAGGUUUAUCCCCCACACUGGUACUGAGACACGGACCAGACUCCUACGGGAGGCAGCAGUGAGGAAUAUUGGUCAACGGACGCAAGUCUGAACCAGCCACGUCGCGUGAAGGAAGACGGCCCUACGGGUUGUAAACUUCUUUUGUAAGGGAAUAAAGUGUAGUACGUGUACUAUUUUGCAUGUACCUUACGAAUAAGGAUCGGCUAACUCCGUGCCAGCAGCCGCGGUAAUACGGAGGGUCCGAGCGUUAUCCGGAUUUAUUGGGUUUAAAGGGUGCGCAGGCGGGAGAUUAAGUCGGCGGUGAAAUUUUGCAGCUCAACUGUAAAAGUGCCUUCGAAACUGGUUUCCUUGAGUGUGGAUGAAGUAGGCGGAAUUUGUGGUGUAGCGGUGAAAUGCAUAGAUAUCACGAGGAACUCCGAUUGCGCAGGCAGCUUACUAAACCAUAACUGACGCUCAGGCACGAAGGCGUGGGGAUCAAACAGGAUUAGAUACCCUGGUAGUC
rnacentral:rRNA from 1 species